UACGUAGGGUGCAGGCGUUAAUCGGAAUUACUGGGCGUAAAGCGUGCGCAGGCGGUUUGCUAAGACAGGUGUGAAAUCCCCGGGCUUAACCUGGGAACUGCGCUUGUUACUGGCAGGCUUGAGUGUGGCAGAGGGGGGUGGAAUUCCACGUGUAGCAGUGAAAUGCGUAGAGAUGUGGAGGAACACCGAUGGCGAAGGCAGCCCCCUGGGCCUGCACUGACGCUCAUGCACGAAAGCGUGGGGAGCAAACAGG
rnacentral:rRNA from 1 species